UCUCCGUAGGUGAACCUGCGGAGGGAUCAUUAACGAGUACGGGUCCGCAAGGGCCCCCAACUCCCACCCAUUGUUGUCGAGAAUACACCGUUGCCUCGGCGGGGCGCCCCCCCGCCGGCGGACAAACACAACCCUGCUUUUUAAACCAUGCGGUCUGAGCGAGAUUUAAUCAAAAUAAAAAUCAAAACUUUCAACAACGGAUCUCUUGGUUCUGGCAUCGAUGAAGAACGCAGC
rnacentral:misc_RNA from 1 species